UUUUUGGAGAGUUUGAUCCUGGCUCAGGACGAACGCUGGCGGCGUGCCUAAUACAUGCAAGUCGAGCGAACUG
rnacentral:rRNA from 1 species